rnacentral:rRNA from 1 species
AUUACCGAGUUUACAACUCCCAAACCCAAUGUGAACGUUACCAAACUGUUGCCUCGGCGGGAUCUCUGCCCCGGGUGCGUCGCAGCCCCGGACCAAGGCGCCCGCCGGAGGACCAACCAAAACUCUUUUUGUAUACCCCCUCGCGGGUUUUUUAUAAUCUGAGCCUUCUCGGCGCCUCUCGUAGGCGUUUCGAAAAUGAAUCAAAACUUUCAACAACGGAUCUCUUGGUUCUGGCAUCGAUGAAGAACGCAGCGAAAUGCGAUAAGUAAUGUGAAUUGCAGAAUUCAGUGAAUCAUCGAAUCUUUGAACGCACAUUGCGCCCGCCAGUAUUCUGGCGGGCAUGCCUGUCCGAGCGUCAUUUCAACCCUCGAACCCCUCCGGGGGGUCGGCGUUGGGGAUCGGCCCUGCCUCUUGGCGGUGGCCGUCUCCGAAAUACAGUGGCGGUCUCGCCGCAGCCUCUCCUGCGCAGUAGUUUGCACACUCGCAUCGGGAGCGCGGCGCGUCCACAGCCGUUAAACACCCAACUUCUGAAAUGUUGACCUCGGAUCAGGUAGGAAUACCCGCUGAACUUAAGCAUAUCAAUAAGCGGAGGGAAAAAAA